AGUGAACGCUGGCGGUAGGCCUAACACAUGCAAGUCGAACGGCAGCACAGUAAGAGCUUGCUCUUACGGGUGGCGAGUGGCGGACGAGUGAGGAAUACAUCGGAAUCUACUUUUUCGUGGGGGAUAACGUAGGGAAACUUACGCUAAUACCGCAUACGACCUACGGGUGAAAGCAGGGGAUCUUCGGACCUUGCGCGAUUGAAUGAGCCGACGUCGGAUUAGCUAGUUGGCGGGGUAAAGGCCCACCAAGGCGACGAUCCGUAGCUGGUCUGAGAGGAUGAUCAGCCACACUGGAACUGAGACACGGUCCAGACUCCUACGGGAGGCAGCAGUGGGGAAUAUUGGACAAUGGGCGCAAGCCUGAUCCAGCCAUACCGCGUGGGUGAAGAAGGCCUUCGGGUUGUAAAGCCCUUUUGUUGGGAAAGAAAAGCAGCAGGUUAAUACCCCGCUGUUCUGACGGUACCCAAAGAAUAAGCACCGGCUAACUUCGUG
rnacentral:rRNA from 1 species